UUAAAUCUCUUAUUUCCACAUGACACGGGGAAACAAUGAGUGAACAAAGAUUGAGUUUGACUGAAGAACCGCUAUUUGAUUGUGCGAGACAUACGAGCAACUAACAUGAGAAAUGUGGCAAUAUGAAGCUAUUAAAUCGCAGCAGAUAGUAAAGAGUUCAACACCAAAUCGAUCAAACAUUUGGGAUAAAAACAUGAAUACCUAGCAACAAUGCUAGCAAUCAACACUGCAUUCUCUAUGAAGGUUCCGGGGAAUACAAGUUACGUUUAAUAUAAUGCAUUUAUGGGAGAAAAUAGAAGCUGAGAGAAUCUUGCAGAAGCAACAAUGAUGCUCCUGAGAGAGCAUAUAUUUCAACUAUUACGUGCCGCGGAAGGAAACAGAAUUACACACAACUUGGGGCAGAGCUGGUGCAGCACUUGAUGAACUUCUGGUCGUGCUGAUGGAGAAGGAUCAACACAGUGCAAAGCGAGUUUCAAUGUGUUUAGCAACUCAUCGC